rnacentral:rRNA from 1 species
AUUGAACGCUGGCGGCAUGCCUUACACAUGCAAGUCGAACGGUAACAGGUCUUCGGAUGCUGACGAGUGGCGAACGGGUGAGUAAUACAUCGGAACGUGCCUAGUAGUGGGGGAUAACUACUCGAAAGAGUGGCUAAUACCGCAUGAGAUCUAGGGAUGAAAGCGGGGGAUCUCAAGACCUUGUGCUACUAGAGCGGCCGAUGGCAGAUUAGGUAGUUGGUGGGAUAAAAGCUUACCAAGCCGACGACCUGUAGCUGGUCUGAGAGGACGAUCAGCCACACUGGGACUGAGACACGGCCCAGACUCCUACGGGAGGCAGCAGUGGGGAAUUUUGGACAAUGGGCGCAAGCCUGAUCCAGCAAUGCCGCGUGCAGGAUGAAGGCCUUCGGGUUGUAAACUGCUUUUGUACGGAACGAAAAGCCCCGGGUUAAUACCCUGGGGUCAUGACGGUACCGUAAGAAUAAGCACCGGCUAACUACGUGCCAGCCGCCGCAGUAA